rnacentral:rRNA from 1 species
UUCAACGUGAGAGUUUGAUCCUGGCUCAGAGCGAACGCUGGCGGCAGGCUUAACACAUGCAAGUCGAGCGGGCACUUUCGGGUGUCAGCGGCGGACGGGUGAGUAACGCGUGGGAACGUGCCCUCUGGUUCGGAAUAACUCAGGGAAACUUGAGCUAAUACCGGAUACGCCCUUUUGGGGAAAGGCUUGCUGCCGGAGGAUCGGCCCGCGUCUGAUUAGCUAGUUGGUGAGGUAACGGCUCACCAAGGCGACGAUCAGUAGCUGGUCUGAGAGGAUGAUCAGCCACACUGGGACUGAGACACGGC